UACGGGGGGGGCAAGCGUUGUUCGGAAUUACUGGGCGUAAAGGGCUCGUAGGCGGCCAACUAAGUCCGACGUGAAAUCCCCAAGCUUAACUUGGGAACUGCGUCGGAUACUGGAUGGCUUGAAUUCGGGAGAGGGAUGCAGAAUUCCAGGUGUAGCGGUGAAAUGCGUAGAUAUCUGGAGGAACACCGGUGGCGAAGGCGGCGUCCUGGACCAACACUGACACUGAGGAGCGAAAGCCAGGGGAGCAAACGGG
rnacentral:rRNA from 1 species